UACCAGCACCCCGAGUGGUCGGGACGAUUAUUGGGCCUAAAGCAUCCGUAGCCGGUCCUACAAGUCUUCCGUUAAAUCCACCUGCUUAACAGAUGGGCUGCGGAAGAUACUAUAGGGCUAGGAGGCGGGAGAGGCAAGCGGUACUCAGUGGGUAGGGGUAAAAUCCUCUGAUUCAUUGAAGACCACCAGUGGCGAAGGCGGCUUGCCAGAACGCGCUCGACGGUGAGGGAUGAAAGCUGGGGGAGCAAACCGG
rnacentral:rRNA from 1 species